UAACGCUGGCGGCAGGCUAAUACAUGCAGUCGAGCGCGCCCUUCGGGGUGAGCGGCGGACGGGUUAGUAACGCGAACGUGCCCUUCUCUAAGGAAUAGCCACUGGAAACGGUGAGUAAUACCUUAUACGCCCCCCAAUCAAAUUCCAUUUGGUUGACGGAAAUUCUGUUGAAUGCCGGAUGGCGUUUGAUGGGGGGGAAAGAUUUAUCGGAGAAGGAUCGGCCCGCGUUAGAUUAGAUAGUUGGUGGGGUAAUGGCCUACCAAGUCUACGAUCUAUAGCUGGUUUUAGAGGAUGAUCAGCAACACUUGGGACUGAGACACGGCCCCAGACUCCUACGGGAGGCAGCAGUGGGGAAUCUUAGACAAUGGGGGCAACCCUGAUCUAGCCAUGCCGCGUGAGUGAUGAAGGCCUUAGGGUCGUAAAGCUCUUUCGCCUGUGAUGAUUAUGACA
rnacentral:rRNA from 1 species